UCAAACUUGGUCAUUUAGAGGAAGUAAAAGUCGUAACAAGGUCUCCGUUGGUGAACCAGCGGAGGGAUCAUUACCGAGUUAUUACUCCAAACCCUUUGUGAACCUUACCAUUGUUCUGUUGCCUCGGCGGCGUCCGGCCCCUAAAGCCUUCGCCGCCGGCAGCAUCAAACUCUUGAAUUUUAUAGCGGAUUACACUUCUGAAUAAAAACACAAAACAAAUAAAAACUUUCAACAACGGAUCUCUUGGUUCUGGCAUCGAUGAAGAACGCAGC
rnacentral:misc_RNA from 1 species